CUCUUCCGAUCUGCCAAAUCACCGAUAUACCAAUCAAGUUUAUUACAUUCCACCAAUCACAAUAUAACCAUACAAUAUUACACCAAUCACAGUAUAGCACUCUACAGAUAAAACGCUCAACAAGUACACGCACGUCUCCAACACCUUAGCGCCUUCAACCUGCAAAACAUCACAUCCAACCACAUAUUAAUGAUCAAAUCAAUUCACCCCUUGAUGGCAAUAAAAAACUGUGCUCAUGUAUGAACGAAAAUAAAA